rnacentral:rRNA from 1 species
AGUGAACGCUGGCGGUAGGCCUAACACAUGCAAGUCGAACGGCAGCACAGUAAGAGCUUGCUCUUACGGGUGGCGAGUGGCGGACGGGUGAGGAAUACAUCGGAAUCUACUUUUUCGUGGGGGAUAACGUAGGGAAACUUACGCUAAUACCGCAUACGACCUACGGGUGAAAGCAGGGGAUCUUCGGACCUUGCGCGAUUGAAUGAGCCGAUGUCGGAUUAGCUAGUUGGCGGGGUAAUGGCCCACCAAGGCGACGAUCCGUAGCUGGUCUGAGAGGAUGAUCAACCACACUGGAACUGAGACACGGUCCAGACUCCUACGGGAGGCAGCAGCGGGGAAUAUUGGACAAUGGGCGCAAGCCUGAUCCAGCCAUACCGCGUGGGUGAAGAAGGCCUUCGGGUUGUAAAGCCCUUUUGUUGGGAAAGAAAAGCAGCAGGUUAAUACCCCGCUGUUCUGACGGUACCCAAAGAAUAAGCACCGGCUAACUUCGUG